UAGGGAAUCUUCCACAAUGGACGCAAGUCUGAUGGAGCAACGCCGCGUGAGUGAAGAAGGUUUUCGGAUCGUAAAGCUCUGUUGUUGGUGAAGAAGGAUAGAGGCAGUAACUGGUUUUUAUUUGACGUUAAUCAACCAGAAAGUCACGGCUAACUACGUGCCAGCAGCCGCGUUUAUACGUAGGUGGCAAGCGUUGUCCGGAUUUAUUGGGCGUAACGCGAGCGCAGGCGGUAUGAUAAGUCUGAUGUGAAAGCCCACGGCUCAACCGUAGAGCUGCAUCGGAAACUUUCAUUCUUGAGUGCAGAAGAGGAGAGUGGAAUUCCAUGGGUAGCGGUGGAAUGCGUAGAUAAAUGGAAGAACACCAGUGGCGAAGGCGGCUCUCUGGUCUGCAACUGACGCUGAGGCUCGAAAGCAUGGGUAGCGAACAGG
rnacentral:rRNA from 1 species